rnacentral:tRNA from 1 species
GGGGUUGUGACUCAGAGGAAAAGUGCUUGCCUCGCAUGCAUGAGGCACUGAGUUCAAUUCCCAGCCCCA